GACGAACGCUGGCGGCGUGCUUAACACAUGCAAGUCGAACGGAAAGGCCCUGCUUUUGUUGGGUGCUCGAGUGGCGAACGGGUGAGUAACACGUGAGUAACCUGCCCUUGACUUUGGGAUAACUUCAGGAAACUGGGGCUAAUACCGGAUAGGAGCUCCUGCUGCAUGGUGGGGGUUGGAAAGUUUCGGCGGUUGGGGAUGGACUCGCGGCUUAUCAGCUUGUUGGUGGGGUAGUGGCUUACCAAGGCUUUGACGGGUAGCCGGCCUGAGAGGGUGACCGGCGACAUUGGGACUGAGAUACGGCCCAGAAUCCUACGGGAGGCAGCAGUGGGGAAUAUUGCACAAUGGGCGGAAGCCUGAUGCAGAAACGCCGCGUGCGGGAUGACGGCCUUCGGGUUGUAAACCGAUUUCGACUGUGACGAAGAGUGAGUGACGGUAAUGGGUAAAGAAGCACCGGCUAACUACGUG
rnacentral:rRNA from 1 species